GAUGAACGCUAGCUACAGGCUUAACACAUGCAAGUCGAGGGGCAGCAUGAACUUAGCUUGCUAAGUUUGAUGGCGACCGGCGCACGGGUGCGUAACGCGUAUCCAACCCUCCCGUUACUCAGGUAUAGCCUUGCGAAAGUAAGAUUAAUCCCUGAUGACAUAUGUUUGCUGCAUGGUGAACAUAUUAAAGAUUUAUCGGUAACGGAUGGGGAUGCGUUCCAUUAGGUAGUUGGUGAGGUAACGGCUCACCAAGCCUGCGAUGGAUAGGGGUUGUGAGAGGAAGGUCCCCCACACUGGAACUGAGACACGGUCCAGACGCCUACGGGAGGCAGCAGUGAGGAAUAUUGGUCAAUGGUCGGAAGACUGAACCAGCCAAGUAGCGUGAGGGAUGACUGCCCUAUGGGUUGUAAACCUCUUUUAUACGGGAAUAAAAGAGAUUACGUGUAGUCUAUUGUAUGUACCUUAUGAAUAAGCAUCGGCUAAUUCCGUGCCAGCCGCCGCCGUAAGAC
rnacentral:rRNA from 1 species